GUCUGCCCGGCCCCAGGUGCCGACAGCCCACCGGGAAAUUUCCCGGUAUCCCGGUGGGCCAGUCCGGCCCUGACUGUAACCAAUUAUAAAAUAAUGAGGAGCAAAAAUCUGAAUGAGGAAUUGGAAGAAAGAUGGAUUACUUUGUCACACAAAAAGUAGAAUAAAAGUCACCAAUAUUCAAAGGGUGCAGUAACCAUUUUAUAGAUUACAAAAUGGUGCUUAUGCACAAAACUUACCCAAAUAUUGAAGAAAAUGCAUCAGCAUUUACUUAAAAAAGAUACAUUGAGUCAUAGUGUCUUCAUGCAGAGUGUUCAGAAAAGGAAGCAUUUACACUCCUGACCCUGCAAAGAUGGCUCUUUGCCCUAGAGCCAUUACAUUAAUCUGUAGUGGUUUUGGUGCAUAUCACAGAGUUUGCAGGAAUCUAUGAUCUGCAAACUUUCUUUGUCUUAGGGAUGAGCAUAACCAUCUAGCAAAGCUAGUGGGUGUGCGGAAGCAUCCCGGAGAUAAUUGCUGCCGCAUACCCACUAGUGCUGUGAUGCCCCUGCACAGCAGCAGCAUUUCAGCCAAUCAGAUACUCAGGACAGCCAUGCUAAGUGCAGGAGCCCUGAUUACCUCAGAUUUUUCAAAAUCUGAGGUAAUCAGAACUCCCAUCCCCUGAUGGCUAGCUCAACCAACCAAAGCACUGAGUAUUUAUAACCCAUUAACAAAGAUAAAAAUAUAAUAACAACUGCAGUUUAAAACACCCCAAAUUUAAUCAAGGUUGAACAGUAGAAACCAUAGGAAGCAAGGUCUUACUGAUCCUGAAAACAUUGAAAACGAUCUUUGAGGCCAUUUUCUUUUACCUUCACAGUCAAUCAGAAAACAUCUGUCUCUCCAUCAGGUACACAAUACUGAAACUGAGAGUACAAAAAGUAAUACUUUAACUAUCUAUCUCUUAAGAUUUUUAAAAAUAAGGUGAGGGGACCCACACUUGGUUGUGCAGGUUUUGUCUAUGUCUUUGCCCUUUGUAGGAAUAGUGUUAGAUAUAACUUAAGAUAUUUAGAUAUAUUACAGAUGGAAAAUCGAAUAUGGUUCUUAUCUAUGAAUUAUUUGUGUUGUAUG